GGGCCAUGGCACAGUGGUAGAGCAUCUGCCUUGCAUGCAAAAGGUCUCCAGGUCCAGUCCCUGGCAUCCCCA